GAACAAAAGUCUCUUGCACACGCUAGGAAUUUAACUGGAAAUCUCAAUAUUAAGGCGCAAUGAUACAUCCAGUCUUCACACAUAGGCUAUGUAUGGGCCAAGCUUUAGGCAUCAAGCCCCUGAACCGCUUGCCAACUGAUCUGUACCAUGCUUACCAAAUAAAUUUCUAGCGCAUGCAAGGAAGGUCUUUUGGCGUCUGGUUUGGCAUUUGGUGAAGGAGAAGAAUCUCGCUCAUGCUAAAAUGAUCGUCACGAUCUACAAAUAGAGUGAUGUGCUCGGCGCGCAUCAUUUGUCGCACAGGCCACCACCACGAACCACUCACCCUCGGAAACGCGGAGCACCUUUUUAUAUAGCCUUGUGCUUUUGAUCAAAAGGCCCAAGGGUGUAAUUCGAGAGUGAUUCAAUUAAGAGAAAGGAUUCACCUGUACGUUACCCCUCCCUGCAAUACUUCUACGUACAGCUGUUUACAGGCCAAAAAUGGACAUUCCUAUGAACCAACACGUGAAUGACCAUACGGACGUAAAGGGAAAGAUAUAUUAAAAAAAAUAAACGGCAAUUUCUUUUUUUCAUGGCUCUGUUUCAUUGGACAGACUCGGUUCAGAGCAUACUCUGUUUUCCGCUUCCCAAGGGUUUGUUUGGCAACUGGCCCAACCAAUAUUAUAACUUGGGCUUGAUAGAUCUCUGGUUUCCAAAAAGGAGCUACGCGAUGGGUUGCAUAAGAUGUGAGAACGGGUUAGGUUGUUGAAGUCUCGACUGGCGGUAUAUGGACAUAAUCAUCACCUUCUGUUCAAAGAUGAUGGUUUGCGAGCAUACUGGCGCGAGGUUGUGUAUGGCUCGCUUCGACCCUGGCGGAGCAUAGUUUUCUUUUAUCAGCACCUCUAUUCUGAGUUUCUCUGAUGUCCAGUAACUUACACUAGCUCUUCAAGCUAGCAGCGGAUAGCUAGAGAGGAGAUCUACGUGCCAUACAUUGCAUGCAUUGUGCAUAUGAGCCCACAAAACUGUAUCUGAGAACAAACUCUUCACCUUUCAAUUUCACUUGAUGUCC
rnacentral:sRNA from 1 species